rnacentral:rRNA from 1 species
UACGUAGGGAGCAAGCGUUGUUCGGAUUUACUGGGCGUAAAGGGCGCGUAGGCGGCCUCUGCAAGUCGACUGUGAAAUCUCCGGGCUUAACCCGGAACGGUCAGCCGAUACUGCAGGGCUAGAGUGCAGAAGGGGCAACUGGAAUUCUCGGUGUAGCGGUGAAAUGCGUAGAUAUCGAGAGGAACACCUGCGGCGAAGGCGGGUUGCUGGGCUGACACUGACGCUGAGGCGCGAAAGCCAGGGGAGCGAACGGG